GUCCCUACGGGGGGCUGCAGUGGGGAAUAUUGCACAAUGGGCGCAAGCCUGAUGCAGCGACGCCGCGUGCGGGAUGACGGCCUUCGGGUUGUAAACCGCUUUUGAUCGGGAGCAAGCCUUCGGGUGAGUGUACCUUUCGAAUAAGCACCGGCUAACUACGUGCCAGCAGCCGCGGUAAUACGUAGGGUGCAAGCGUUAUCCGGAAUUAUUGGGCGUAAAGGGCUCGUAGGCGGUUCGUCGCGUCCGGUGUGAAAGUCCAUCGCUUAACGGUGGAUCUGCGCCGGGUACGGGCGGGCUGGAGUGCGGUAGGGGAGACUGGAAUUCCCGGUGUAACGGUGGAAUGUGUAGAUAUCGGGAAGAACACCAAUGGCGAAGGCAGGUCUCUGGGCCGUUACUGACGCUGAGGAGCGAAAGCGUGGGGAGCGAACAGGAUUAGAUACCCGGGUAGUCCUG
rnacentral:rRNA from 1 species